GAUAAGGAGCUUGCUCCUUUGACGUUAGCGGCGGACGGGUGAGUAACACGUGGGUAACCUACCUAUAAGACUGGGAUAACUUCGGGAAACCGGAGCUAAUACCGGAUAACAUUUGGAACCGCAUGGUUCUAAAGUGAAAGAUGGUUUUGCUAUCACUUAUAGAUGGACCCGCGCCGUAUUAGCUAGUUGGUAAGGUAACGGCUUACCAAGGCGACGAUACGUAGCCGACCUGAGAGGGUGAUCGGCCACACUGGAACUGAGACACGGUCCAGACUCCUACGGGAGGCAGCAGUAGGGAAUCUUCCGCAAUGGGCGAAAGCCUGACGGAGCAACGCCGCGUGAGUGAUGAAGGGUUUCGGCUCGUAAAACUCUGUUAUUAGGGAAGAACAAAUGUGUAAGUAACUGUGCACGUCUUGACGGUACCUAAUCAGAAAGCCACGGCUAACUACGUGCCAGCAGCCGCGGUAAUACGUAGGUGGCAAGCGUUAUCCGGAAUUAUUGGGCGUAAAGCGCGCGUAGGCGGUUUCUUAAGUCUGAUGUGAAAGCCCACGGCUCAACCGUGGAGGGUCAUUGGAAACUGGGAAACUUGAGUGCAGAAGAGGAAAGUGGAAUUCCAUGUGUAGCGGUGAAAUGCGCAGAGAUAUGGAGGAACACCAGUGGCGAAGGCGACUUUCUGGUCUGUAACUGACGCUGAUGUGCGAAAGCGUGGGGAUCAAACAGGAUUAGAUACCCUGGUAGUCCACGCCGUAAACGAUGAGUGCUAAGUGUUAGGGGGUUUCCGCCCCUUAGUGCUGCAGCUAACGCAUUAAGCACUCCGCCUGGGGAGUACGACCGCAAGGUUGAAACUCAAAGGAAUUGACGGGGACCCGCACAAGCGGUGGAGCAUGUGGUUUAAUUCGAAGCAACGCGAAGAACCUUACCAAAUCUUGACAUCCUUUGAAAACUCUAGAGAUAGAGCCUUCCCCUUCGGGGGACAAAGUGACAGGUGGUGCAUGGUUGUCGUCAGCUCGUGUCGUGAGAUGUUGGGUUAAGUCCCGCAACGAGCGCAACCCUUAAGCUUAGUUGCCAUCAUUAAGUUGGGCACUCUAGGUUGACUGCCGGUGACAAACCGGAGGAAGGUGGGGAUGACGUCAAAUCAUCAUGCCCCUUAUGAUUUGGGCUACACACGUGCUACAAUGGACAAUACAAAGGGCAGCUAAACCGCGAGGUCAUGCAAAUCCCAUAAAGUUGUUCUCAGUUCGGAUUGUAGUCUGCAACUCGACUACAUGAAGCUGGAAUCGCUAGUAAUCGUAGAUCAGCAUGCUACGGUGAAUACGUUCCCGGGUCUUGUACACACCGCCCGUCACACCACGAGAGUUUGUAACACCCGAAGCCGGUGGAGUAACCAUUUA
rnacentral:rRNA from 1 species